GAUGAAGAACGUAGCGAAAUGCGAUAAGUAAUGUGAAUUGCAGAAUUCAGUGAAUCAUCGAAACUUUGAACGCACAUUGCGCCCGCCAGCAUUCUGGCGGGCAUGCCUGUUCGAGCGUCAUUUCAACCCCUCGGGCCCUGGUGCCCGGCGUCGGGGCGCUUCCCACCCCCGGGAACCCCCCCAGAAGCAGUGGCGGACCCGCCGCGGCUCCGAGCGCAGUAGUUAAUAUUUCUCGCUCAGGAGGCCCGCGGGGGGACUUCGGCCGUUAAACCGGACCCUCGCGUCCACGUACACACAAAGGUUGACCUCGGAUCAGGUAGGAAUACCCGCUGAACUUAAGCAUAUCAAUAAGCGGAGGA
rnacentral:misc_RNA from 1 species